rnacentral:lncRNA from 1 species
CAGAAAUUACAUUUCAACUUAGGUAUCAGAAUAUGUGAAUUAUGGGUAAAAAAAACCUUUAAAUUGUUCUCAAUUAAACAAUCUGAUUUUAAUUACUCUCGUGAUUUCCGUAUUUGUCCGCGACAGAGAUAUGUGUGCAUUGUUAACUGUUUUGUCUGCCAUAAACAAUGAUAAAGGCAUUGGGAAAGGAAAUGAUCUUUAAAUUUAAAUCAACAAGGCCAU